GAGACGUUAGUAAACACAUUACAUGGUCUUGUCAAGGCCAAAUCACAGGUUAUAAACCCUGUACAUCUCA